rnacentral:lncRNA from 1 species
UUGAAGCAAUCUUUACAAGCGAAAGAGUUGAGGACAUUGUAUCUAUCUCCAAGGAUUCAGUUCUUAUCCUUGGUCAAGGUGAGAGGAGUUUGUGACACAUAUUCUAGACUGCCAGACAUGUUGUGGUCAUCUAGAUAGUUUUGAAAUUUUCCUAACAUGAUAUGAUGUCCUAGGCAACAUGUUUCUGUAUGGAACUUCUUGAAUUUGGUUCUUUAUCAUGCAUGGUAAGUAUAAUCAAAUCACCGUUUUUGCGUGUUACUAACAACAAUUGCUUCAGCAUACGCCCUUGAGUUUCAUUUGAUACCAGGUGGAUACCUCACUGUUCUUUAGGGCAUGGUUCAAGACUUUGCAGCUUUGGAUGGUCUUUUGGCUAAAGACAGGAUGAGGUUAGUUCAUUAAUUAUCAACUGAUUUAAAUUUCCCUACUUCUGUUACCAUUGUAAUCUGUUGCCUUCUAAUGCUUCCUCCAUUACUCUCAACUGAAGUUUUGGUGAUUUUGAAGAUGAACUUAUCCACC